AACGAACGUUAGCGGCGCGCUUAACACAUGCAAGUCGUGCGAGAAAGGGGAAACCCCGGUAAAGCGGCGCACGGGUGAGUAACACGUAGGUAAUCUACCCCCAGGUGGUGGAUAACCUUCCGAAAGGAGGGCUAAUACAGCAUGAGACCACGGGCUCGCAAGAGCUUGAGGUCAAAGCCGGCCUCUUCAUGAAAGCUGGCGCCAGGGGAUGAGCCUGCGGCCCAUCAGCUAGUUGGUAGGGUAACGGCCUACCAAGGCGAAGACGGGUAGCUGGUCUGAGAGGAUGAUCAGCCACACUGGAACUGAGACACGGUCCAGACUCCUACGGGAGGCAGCAGUGGGGAAUAUUGGACAAUGGACGCAAGUCUGAUCCAGCCAUGCCGCGUGAAGGAUUAAGGUCCUCUGGAUUGUAAACUUCUUUUAUAAGGGACGAAAAAAGGCUUUUCUAAGUCGGCUGACGGUACCUUAUGAAUAAGCACCGGCUAACUCCGUGCCAGCAGCCGCCGUAAAAC
rnacentral:rRNA from 1 species